ACCAAAGAGUCUAAAAAUUGUUCCUGAUCCAGUCAGACUGAGUGACACGAAGCACAAUAAGUUCUUCAGUCCACAUAGCAACAAGAUAAGUAUCACUCUA